rnacentral:tRNA from 1 species
GUGGCGGAUCCCGAUCGGCUAGGGGCCGGUCUGCAAAACCGGUUUCGGAGGGUUCGAUUCCCUCCCGCCACUCCA